rnacentral:lncRNA from 1 species
UGCAGCCGACUGGACAAAAUCGCUCAUUCAUGCAAAUGAAUACAAUCAUGCAUUAAUACUCAAAAGAACAACGGGCCACAUACAAAGUAGAUGAACAUAUAGCAACAAGAAAAUAGUAAUCACAGAGUACUAAUUCUCAUCACACGUGUAUGGAACAAUAGAAAGAAAUUGAAUACAGGGAAUACUACACCACUUAUUCUAAUAAUAGCACACUGUGGCUCCGUAUUGGGUCUCCUCCGUCAAGUGUCGUAUAUAAGUAUCCCAUCAAUUAUGUGUUGCCGGUGGUUUGCACUUCGGAGGCGGCUUCGGUUUCGGUUCAGGUUUAGGCUUGGGCUCCGGCUUUGGUUCGGGUUUCGGCAUCGGCUCGGGCUUAGGACCUGGCUUUGGUUUGGAGCAGGGCUCGGGCUUUGGUUUUGGCAUUGGCUUGGGCUUGGGUUCUGGUUCGGGCUUCUCUCCGGGCUUUUGUUUAGGCUUUGGUUUGGGUUUUGGCAUCGGUUCAGGUUUGCAGGGCUCUGGCUCUGGUUGUGGCGCAGGUUUGGACAUUGGCUCUGGUUGUGGCGCAGGUUUGGACAUUGGCUCUGCUUUGGGUUCUGGCUUUGGCUCUAGCUCUGCAAAAUUCUCGACAGCAGCAAGGCCUCGGCCAGCCGCAACAACUUGGUUGAGAGUGGAGGCUGCAACUACCCCGAUGAGGAGCACGGCGAGGAGGCGAUGCCUCGCCAUUGCUGCCUACUUCUUGUGCUUGCAAGUUGUGUUGCACCUGUUGUGGUUUGUGUGUGUUUGUGUAUGUUGUGUGGAGAAUGGAGAUACAUAUGGUGUGGUUUUAUAGGCAGGGUGAAACAAAGCAGAUCUAGAUGCUGCAUUAAUUAACAUUGCAGCUAGCUAGCUGGAGUGACAAGUAGUACUGCGUAACAUGGCAAUGGAGCUAUAUUGGUCGAUUAGUUGAUUACAAAUGAAGCAACCAACGUAGCUAGAGGUGUUAAUAAGCACAGCUGGAUUUUGCGUGUGUGUCUCUAUGUGAUGAUAGUGGGGUGAGUAACAAUAUUUUUACUCUAUUGGUUGGCCUCCUGGUAGUAAUAGAAUCAUGUUAGUUGCCUUGUCAGUCCUGUUCACACGUCCAUGUGACCGGCCAUCAUUUAGAAAUCAAGAUCGAUGCUGUACACGUUAGUGCCAUUACAAAGUAGAAAAAGAAAAAGAAAAAAGCAACCGCUUCAGUUCAAUUCACAAUUCCAAGUUUUUGCGCACUCGUGUUUUCUCAAGCACUCUAUCUAGCCCGGUAUAGUUGGGCAGUUUCAGAAUUGUAGAUACCAAUGAGGAUUUUAUCAUGCUUAUUGUCUCAAAUUAUUAAAUCUUAUAACUCUCUGAUAAGCUAGGUUAUUUUGACGUUGCAUGCCCCUCAUUCUCCAGUCUCAUGCAUGCGUGUGCUUUAGACUUUAGUUAUGCAUGUAUGAUUUUCCAAAAAGGGUUUCAUGGAGACGGAGCUCCAAAACGAACUGGGUUGGUGAGUUUAGCACCGCCAUAUAUUCUGAUAGAGUAAGGAUUAUAUUGUGGUAAUGUUCUUUCCCUCCGUUUGUCAUAUUUUGAAUCAAGAGGGUUUCAUUGUAAUUCUUAGUUAUAGGAGUUAUUUUAUAAUUUCUUGUAUCUAUGAUCGAAGCAUUGUAUCUAUGAUUUUGUUGAGUUUGAAUAAAGUCACAUGCCCUUCUGAGCCACGCGGAAUACCGCACCACCAAUCGCGCUCACGCUUGAGACCGCCGUCGCCGGUGGCUGAUCUCCCUCCUCUGGUCGCCUCCGGCCCAGCCAAGUACAGAUCCGGGACCCUCCCGACGUCCUCUCUCCAGCCAUCCCGAAGUUUGGCACCGUCUUCACCGGUUCUCUCCCCGCUGAGCGGCUCGAGUUGGGCCCUCCACCUCUCCCGGUCCCGGUCACGUGCGGCUGCGCGGCCGCAUCGGGGCGCCCCUGUGGGCCCGAGCAAGCCCCCUGCGCCUUUCUAUUCUCUCGCCUCCGCCGAAGCCGUCGCGGGGCAAAAUCCUGGCAGCAGGACCCCUCGGUCAUCGUUCUCGAGCGUGGGGGCGGCGCUACUCCAGGCGGUGAUGCUCCGGUGUCAGGGGAUCCUUCCUUGGCUUGUGGAGCUGCGGUGGCGGCGGUGAGCCACAAUUUUGGAUGGCGGCGCGGCGCCGUCGUUUAGGCCGGUGUCUCCGGUGGUCGUGGAGGUGCUGGUCGUCCGGUUAGAGGUGACGAGGUCAUGGCUGAUGCUGGAGGAUGUGGCUGGAGCUGAUGCGGGGUGUGCCGUUGCUACUACGGGGCGGAUCUAGCAGGCUUGCCGUGGUGGGCGCCAGAUCCGACCGGUUUGGCUGGCUCCGGCUCGCCGGCUUUUGCAGGCGGUGAGGUUGAUGGCUCCUGCGUGAGGGUGGCGUCGUCGUCGCGUAGGAGGUGUGUGGUACAGCGGGCUUGCAGACCAGUGGUGAUGCGCCACCGGUUGCAUGUGUGGGGGGGGGGGCUCAGCGAGGUGGCUCCAGGCGAAAUCCUAGACGGCACGACGUCCGUGAACGUCGUUUUUCCUCCUUGGGGGUCGUUGUGGAGCCCUUCCUUGCCCAACACCUUCGAACCAUGGACGCCCCCCCUUGGGGGCGUUGCCUUGAGGGUCACUGGUCUCUUCCGUGCUUUCCGGAGCUGGACACACACGACAUCGGGGUCGGCAGGUACCCGUCUGGCGAUGUGGUUGGCGCGACUUCUUGUGUGGUGACGAUGGCGGCUUCAAGCGAAGUUGGUUUGCUGUUGAGUUUUGGUAGUCGGUCUCAUCCCGCGUGUUCGAGGGGUUGCCGCGCCUCACUUUGUCUUCCUGGAGUCGGAGCUGCUGAGGCGGGGCCUUGCGACGACGAUGACGCGAGGCGGGUGGUCGAUUGUGGCGCUGGCUCGGCUCAGGCUCAGUUGUUUUCUCCUACAAUGCUCGUCGACAGAGUUGGAACUGCUUGGUAGUUGGCGUGUGCGGUUGACUGUUUGGCAGUGGCCGGCAUGGGCCUCGGUGUUUGCUUGUGGUGAGGGCUGUUUUGAUGGUCAUCGAUGAUGUAGUCGGAGUCGCCCUUGUGUAGGUGUGAUGAUGAUGACACCGGGUUGCAGCCUCGACGGUGUUCUCUCUUCGGCGACGUGUGUGCGUUCUUAUGUGGGUUGUCACGUCGCCAUGCGUAUCCUGUAUGGACGUGGUGUAGCAGGUUUCACUCGGUUUUUCGUUAAUUAACCCAGCAAUUCUCUUUUUCUUAAUUAAUGGGAUGAGACAAUGCUUUUGCCUGCGUUUAAAAAAACACUAGCUAGCCGACAGUUUGUUCAAUGCGUGCUGUCAUUUUGCACAAAUGCCUAUGUCUCUACCUACUGUGAGGCGCUCACUUGUUGGGAUGUGGUGCGGGCUGUGGUCCGGUUGCGGUGGAGGAGUAACAUUAGUUUGUUUCGUGCAAUUUUCAAAACAUUUCGUCGGAGUUUUUUUCCUGUUUUCUUUAUUGGGUUUCUUUUUUUUCAUUUUCCCUUUUACUUUUUCUGUUCAUUUAUUUCAUGUAUUGUUUUGUAUUUUAUUUUUCCAUAUUUCAAAUACAGCUUGAUUUUUUUUUCAAAAUAGUAAACAUUUUAAAGUAACCAUAGAAUAUUUUCUAAUACAUGUUUGAACGUUUUAUAAGUACAUGGUGAACAAUUUUUAUAUACAAUGAAUAUUUCUCUAAAAACUGCAAGAACACAUUCUGUUUAUUUAAUGAACAUUUUUAUAUUGCCAUGACCAAUUUUAUAAACAUGCGAAAAAAAUUAAAAUGUAGUGUUUUUUUGGAACAAUGCGAAUAUGAAUUUUAAAACUCUGGAAUAAUUUUUAAGACAAGUUGACAUUUUUUAUUUUUUUACGAGAAAACUUCGGAUGUAUUUAUCCAUUGUCAUGUUAGUAUAAGAAUACCAGAACUAACAUAACUUACAUUCAGAUCCAUAGACCAUCUAACGAUGUCUACAAUCACUUGAUCAAGCCGAAAGUGCACCAUGAUCCUCACUCCUCCCUCAUCGGAGUCGGACAAUGUCCAGUCAUGUUUUUUUUACAAACUGUUAAUCAUGUAUGAAUUUUUCUAUUGUGUAUUUCAAAAUUAUCAUGGAUUUUUAAAAAAUAUUGUGCAUUUUUAGAAAAACUGUUAUUUCAAAGGUUCAUCAUGUAUGAAAAGAAAUCUUCAUCAUAAAUUGUUCAAAUUGUCCACAGUGUAUAAAUUCAGAAAAAUAUGAAGACUUUUUAAUUCUAUGUGUAUUUGAAAAAUGUUUAAUAUUUUGAAACGUUUUAUAAAUACACGAUGAAUAUUUUUAAGUAUAUUAACAGCUAUUAUACUGCAUGAUCACCUAUCAAUAGUACAAACCCAUAUAUUUUAUACGCGAUGAAAAAAUCUGUUAAUAAUAAUUUUCAUGGUGCCUUUUCUUGGAAAUCUUGACCUAGGGUGUAGUUACCUUUCACACAUAUCCGAUAUAUAUUUAAGUAAGUCAUCCCAUUUAAAUGCACAUGCAUGUCAAUCACAUUAUGAAGGGUAUGCAACCAAUAAACUUCCACUUACCACUUUUCAUCACAUGCAGGUCCUCGAUAUCAUCAAGCGUGCAUGUAAUCAUUCGACGUUUCACUUCUCAUCAUAUGCAAGUUCCACAUCAUCAAACACAUGAAAGCUCUUCACCUCAUUAUUUUUUACUAUUUAUUUUUUAGCAACAAAUAAUUGAACUUGAAGGUCACAAGAAAAUAUAUUAUGCGUGCACCCUCUAGUUACAUCUAGGUUUUCUAUUGCCAUAUGCUGAGAAUGUUGUGUGGUAUUAUUCCUACAUAUGCUAUUUUUCAUAAUUUCAUUGCUAUAAAUUUUCGUGACAAUGUGUGUGACGUUUACCUAGUAGUAGCAGAGCCAGCUUACUCACACAGCCUGGGCAUAAAUAUAACAGCGUGCCUAGAACUUAUCUAGACCAGAUAUAAUUUAGUCGCAUUCAUCUAGAAAAUCAAAACAGAUACAAAGUAGUACUACAACUCACGUCGGCACACGCACAUCUUAUAGUCACAUCCAAUGACUAUAAAAGAUGAACGAGACAUAACUAAAAUUCAGUUAGAUGAGUUUUAGCAAAACCGUAAAUAUAACGCACUCGGUCGGGACUUACUUCGUAGGUGAAGGGUAGAGAAGAAGGCCACUGUCUUGCGUGUGAGUGCACUUUAUACAUCUAGAACACCAGACACGUAUACAUAUGUGAUAUGUCUGCUGCUAGGAAGUCAUUCUCUUCUCUUUUGUUGACAUUAGCUUUCCCCCCAAAAAAGACCAUAUAAUAUGAAACAAUCACAUAGAGAGAAAAUAACAGGGACUGCACCCCAUAGAGAAAACAACAUAGACUGCAGUCCACUGACAAAAUAGCUCAUUUAUGUUUUGUUGUUUGGAAAAGGAGGUUCAAACCCCCGGCCUCUGCAUCAAUCGAUGCAUACGGUAGCUCAUUUAUGUGAAUACAAUCAUGCGUAGAUACUCCAAAGAACAACAAGUCGAGUCACAAUGUCCCAUACAAAGUAGAUGAACAUAUACCAACAAGCAAAUACUAGUAAUUACAGAGUACUAGUACUCAUCACGCGUAUAUGGAAAAAUAGAAUGAAAUGGAAUACAGGGAAUACUACUACACCACUUAUUCUAGAAAUAGCACAGUGGGGCUUGGUACGGGGUCUCCUCCUCCAUCAACUCUCAUAUAUAAGUAUCCCAUCAGUCGUGAGCUGCCGGUGGUUUGCACUUCGGAGGUGGUUCAGGUUUAGGCUCGGGCUCCGGCUUUGGUUCGGGUUUCGGCAUCGGCUCGGGCUUAGGAUCUGGCUUUGGUUUGGAGCAGGGCUCAGGCUUUGGUUUUGGCAUUGGCUUGGGCUUGGGUUCUGGUUCGGGCUUCUCUCCAGGCUUUUCUUCAGGCUUUGGUUUCGGCAUCGGUUCAGGUUUGCAGGGCUCUGGCUCUGGUUGUGGUGUAGGUUUGGACAUUGGCUCUGGUUUGGGUUCUGGCUUUGGCUCUAUCUCUGCAAAAAUUUCGACAGCAGGAAGGCCUCGGUCAGCCGCGGCAGCUUGGUUGAGAGUGGAGGCUGCAACUACCCCAAUGAGGAUCAUGGCGAGGAGGCGAUGCCUCGCCAUUGCUGCCUACUUCUUGUGCUUGCAGCUAGUGUUGCACACCUGCUGUGCUUUGUGUGUGGUUGUGUGUGUUGUGUGGAGAACUGGAGAUACAUAUUGUGUGGUUUUAUAGGCUGGGUGAAACAAAGCAGAUCUGGAGGCUGCAUUAAUUAGCAUUGGUUGAUUAGUUGAGUACAAAUGAAGCAACAACCAACGUAGCUAGAGGUGUUAAUAAGAACAGUUGGAUUUUGCCUGAGUGUGUCUCUAAUGCGAUGAUAGUAGGGUGAGUAACAAUAUUUUUACUCUAUUGGUUGCCUCCCGGUAGUAAUAGAAUUCUGUUAGUUGCCUUGUUAAUCUUGUUCACACGUCCUUGUUAGUUGCAUCAUUUAGAAAAAUCAAGAUCGACAGUGUACACGUUAGAGUAAUGCACUACAAGUAAAAAAGCAAUCGCUUGAGUUCAAUUCACAAUGAAAAGUGAAGGUAGUCUUUGAAGAGGAACUGGCUUGAUCGUACGUGCACGUCGUGUGUGAGCUUCACCACCUGUUGGAAACCCUCAAGACUCCUUGGUCUGCUUCCUCGACCGAGUUUUCACGAACUCUGCUGUGUUUUCUCAAGUGGUUUUCAAGAAGGUGGCGUUGGAUUAAUCCAUGCACAAGUUUUGCCAGAUUAUGCUGAAUGAUAUAACAAAAGUGAAGGUGUACAUCAUUUGAUGUCGAUGACGGGGUUCCUCCUUUAACAAAUAAGUGUUUUCUCAAACACUCCCUCUGGCCGGUAUACUGGGCACAGUUCCAAAAUUGUAGAUAUCAAUGAGGAUUUUAUCACGCUUAUUGUCUUAAAUUAUUAAAUCUUAUUAACUCUCCGACAAACUAAGAGCAACUCUAACAGAUCGUGUAUUCUAUGAAACUGUAGAUGUGAUUUAUAGUUCGCACAGCAGGAUCUAUACAGGCUGAAAAUUACAGCGGUAGAAUAGAAACCGUAAAAGAAACUCAAAUUUGCUUGUUGGCUUGAUGACGUGAGUCUCGCCGCCUCCUUCUCCCCUAAUAAUAAAGCAACUAACGCUUCGGUCGUCCGUCGUCGCCGAUCGCAGGACGUUUUGCAGAAAGGCUCCUAAGGUUUUAGGUAUUCAACCCGCGGUCCCUUUUAAGUGGUAUCUGAGAAAACGUUUCAGUUUUGCAAAUUAACCACUGCAUCUCGUGAGAAUUCGAUCCGCACUCCUUUGUUCUAUCUUCUCUAGUGGUGGAGAAGGUGGAAGGGGAAUAACUUCAGCUCGGCUCGUCGGCGAGCGUGUUGCAGGAGGCCGACGAGGAGGCCAGUGGGCGUUGUGCGCUUACAGGGGAGCGGGUAGGCCGGAGGUGGAGGGGAUGGCCGGAGGCUGAGGGCAGUGGAGAGAGAGGCCGAGAGAGUCGGCCCGAGGGAGGGGGGACUGAGAGAAAGAGAGAGAGAGUGUGUGUGUGAGCCGGAGAGGGGCGGUCGCCGGAGCCGGACCUCCAGAACAACGACGCAACAAUCUGGAUGGCACAACGGCUUUGAUCCCGGAGAAUGGUGAUUGAUGGCUGCCAACAGACGGAUCCGGGCGAAGGAGGCUCUGAGAGGCGCAUGGAAGGCUGUCAAGGUUGGGGGCGCCGGAUCCAGAGUUCGCAUGGUGAGAGAUGGGGAGAGGGUAGAAUCUUGCUAGUAUAAGACGAGUUAGAGAAGCGGCAACGCCUGCAGAACAGAGCAUGAAGGCAGCUCCUUUUGAGGAGGCGACGACGGACGACAGAGCUCGUGACUGCGACCUUCUCGGCUCCUGCCGGCGUGGUCACUCAAUUCGCUCCACGGCGCGAUGGCCCAUUGCCGGCAAGGCAGCGUUCUGCAACGCACCAGCCUGCAAUGGAGGCGGUGUCCAUGGUGCAGCCGUGGCCUUCAGCGCACACCGCGGGGGAAGUGCUACCGGACACCGGCUUGGCCCCGAUGCUGCUCCUCCCAGACGGUGGUACCCAUGGCCUGGCCCACUAGCCCCCGACUGAGCUCCCAGCAGAGGCGCACAUCGAUGGAGGCUUCGAGCAGGCCGCUCUGCCAUGCUUGUGCAAUGGGGGUCUGCCCGCGUGCUGGGGUGGGGAUGCACGGAUGGACAGAUCCUGGCAGUGGCUGCCACGGUGGCCGGGCACUAAGUACCGGAGUGAUUCGUGGGUGCAGCACGGACAGCUGUUGUGAGGAGCACAGCCAGGCAUCAGCGCUGGUCUCCUCUUCUCUGUAGCUGCAGGAGGAAUGGUGAUGUUUUGGAUAAGGGUCACGUAGUGCGCAGUUAGGUGAAGAUUUAGUGCCUAUUGCUAUUUUUUGAUCAAUAGUUGUUGGUAGAUGUACACGGACUUAAGCUGCUGGAUACUUCGGUGCUCAUCCCGUUGGAUUUAUAUGCGAUUGUUCGUGACGUUCCAACAAAUUGUUAUUUGCUAGAUGUUCUUUUUCACAUUAGUUCAUUAUAAUUAUUUGAUUGUACCGCCUUAUAGAGCAUCUACAACCGGACUUAACAAAUCUGACCUCUCAAACGUUCAUGGAAACGUCCGGACGCAUCUGCGGACGUUGAUCAAUUAAGCCUCAAAUAACGAAUUCUACAACCGGAUACUUUAAAUUAGAAACCUCAAAUAUAUAUUAUUACAUGCAACAUAAAUCUAAUAUUAAGCGUGGCUCGUUUGGGUCCGCCCUGUCCAUGUCGAAAGGCUAGAUAUGCCCUUCAUAGUGUCCGUCCGAUCGUUAGCAAGGUAGAGUAGGACAUGGGACACUGGCCGGUUCAUGGAAGUCGAGUUUCCGUCGUCUUCCAUGCCCAAUUCUUCCUUAAAUUUAUCACUUAGUGUUACUACAGAACAAUCCAACCGUCAACUGCAAAGUUAGUAUACGGAACUACAUGAUCAGCUUCAAGGAGCAUGUCUACGUGCUCCAACACUAGCGCAUUCAUGAAUAUUUGUUUAUAAUUUGUACAAAAACUUAUUUGGACUUAUUUAAAAUUGUAAACAUUCUAAUGAUCCUAUUUUAUAAUGUUUGUAUAAGUAAAAUCAAAUUUCAUGGCUAAAAGAAAUACUCAGUGUAACCUUACUUCUAAAGCUUGCAAAAAUUAGAUUAAAAUAAUAUUGCAUAAUGACACAGGAAGAAAAUUAUAUUUAACAUUUCGGCCGGUGCAACGGCACGGGCAUUUGUAUUAGUAGAUGUCUAUGACAGCAAGGCACGAACUUGUCACUCCCCGUAGGCAUAUUACCAGUGCCACCCAUUCGUCGAAGCAUGUUAAAUGUUAGCGCACUAAUUUAUAAAAAAAUAAUUUGUGCAUUUACUUUUGUUGUCAGUUUUAGGAUUAAUAUAAUGUUGCUUAAAAAUAUUUGUCGGGUGCUGAAAAAAGGGGAAAAGGACGAUCAAUUUGCCAACUUCACACAAGGGCUCUCAAAAUCAUAGAGCCGACCCUGCCAGCACCAUGUGACUUGUGAGAGAUUAUUAUGGCUUCUCGUAUGUUGUGUAGCACUAUCAUUAAGAGCAAUUCUAGCAGACCCUGCAUCCGCCCCCGAUCUGCAAAAUAACCGCUAAAAUGCGGGUACGGACCGAAAAGCCUGUCCGACCAGACCCUGCAUCCCAUCCCGGCCCGUAAAUUUUUUUCAGGGGCGCGGCAAAUUCUCGACCCCAACCCGGGAAAACACGGGUUUCCCCCUCGCGGCUGCGGUGCCCUGCAUCACAGAGAAGCAGUUGGCGGGAGGGACAUUUCAGCCCGUGCUCUUUUCCCCCUCCUUCCGCCGCCGCCCACCCUUGCUUCCGCUCGCCCGCCGCCGGCGAUUCCGGCCAUAUCUGCAGGCGAGCCGCUGCAUCGCCCCUCCAGAUCCGGCGAGAAGAGUCGCCCCCCCCCACCGCCGGGGAUCGACCACCGUCAAGCGCACCCCCUCGUCGCCGCCCGGGAUCACCCGCCACCGGUUAGUCCCCUUUUUGCGAUUUUUGCGAGCUGUGCGAGAAGAUGGAGUUGACCCCGUGCGAGAAGUUUUUACUAUCCGAUUCGUCCGAUUCGGACGACUCGUAUGUUGAGACCAUGCUUGCGAUCUUUCGGCAGCAAACAUUAGUCAUGGCGCUUGCCGUGAAGGAGCAUGAAGACGAGCACUGGAAGAGGAGGCGAGGAUCGAUUGUCGGGCGCUUGUGCAUUCCUCGAAAUCGCCAUCUUGGGAACGAGAUGUUGAUGCAAGACUAUUUCGCGGAGAAUCCUACAUAUCCUCCGCACCUCUUCCGGAGAAGGUACCGAAUGCGCCGAUCCCUCUUUGUGAAACUUGUUCAAGCUUGCGAGGCAAAUUGCCGGUAUUUUACUCAAAGAAGGAAUGUCGCGGGCUGAAAGGCUUGGUUGUUGUUGUUGUUGUUGUUGUUGUAAGGAAUGCUGCGGGCUUAAAGGGAUUUAGUGCAUAUCAAAAAAUCUCCGCACCUAUGGGGGGUGAUUGCAUAUGGCGUUCCGGCUGACUAUGCCGAUGAGUAUCUUCGUAUUGGUGAAUAUAGCACAAUUGAGUCUGUGCGUAGAUUUGCGAAAGUGAUCAUCCGUGUCUUCGGUCCUGAGUAUCUUCGGGCACCCAAUGAAGGACACAAAGAAAUUGAUGGCAUCUGAUGAGAGGAGAGGUUGGCCUGGCAUGCUAGGUAGCAUUGAUUGUAUGCAUUGAAAUUGGAAAAAUUGCCCCAAGGCUUGGCAAAGAAUGUAUUGUGGCAAGUCUAGUGAUGCAACAAUUGUGCUAGAGGCCGUAGCAUCUGAAGAUUUAUGGAUUUGACAUUGCUUUUUUGGUAUGUCGGGAACUCUCAAUGAUAUCAUUGUGUUGCAACGGUCUCAUUUAUUUGCUAGGCUUGCUAGUGGUGAUGCUCCUGCUUGCAACUACAUUAUCAAUGGGCAUGAAUACACAAAGGGGUACUAUCUUGCAGAUGGUAUGUACCCUCCUUGGUGCACAUUUAUCAAGAGCAUCAAAGAACCCAAAACAAAAAAACAAUGUGAAUUUGCAAGGGUGCAAGAGGCAGCCCGCAAAGACAUUGAAAGAGUAUUCGGUGUUUUGCAAUCUAGGUUUGCCAUUGUCCGUGAUCCUGCUCGUUUUUGGGAUAAGAAAACCUUGAAGAACAUCUUGACAUGUUGUGUUAUCCUGCACAAUAUGAUUCUUGAAGAUGAGAGAGGAUUGGACUUAGAAUUAUUUUACGACAAUGUGGGUAGCCGUGUUUAACCAGCUAGAGACCCAAACCACAUUAGAGAUUUUCUUCAGACAUACAAGGAGAUUGAAAAUGCAGACACGUACUUUCAACUUCAGGAAGAUCUCAUUGAGCACCAUUGGCAAAGGGCUGGACAGUGACUUAUUUUUGUAUUCAUUUGUAUUUGCAUUCAUGACAAGUUUUGUAUUGCACUAUUUAAGUUUGCUACGGUUAUUUGAAUAAUUAUUUAUAAUGCGGAUGAUUAUUGUAUUAUGUUUGAUUCGAAUAAUUUAGUUUGUUUUCGAUUGUUGAAUUAUGUUGUAUUUGAUACUUGCGGGUUGAUGAUAUGCGGGAUGUAGCGGCGCAAAGAGCAGACCCCGCAAAGCCGACCCGUUAAAAAGUAUAUUCCACGAAUGUAUUUUUUUACGGAUCCGUUUGGGGGGUCUGCAUAUGUGUCAGCCUGCAAAAGCUGUUUUGCGCGAACUGCAAACGCGUGUUGUGGACCGGCGGGAUGUGGGGUCUGCUAGAGUUGCUCUAAGAGAUUUUUCUUCGUGCGAACUGAGUAAGAGAAAAUCUUUUAAAAUAACUUUCAUGGUGCCUUUUCUUCGUAAUCUUGACCUAUGGGGUGUAGUUACACGUAAUCUUUGUAAUCUUGUUGGCAGCGCAGGUGGUGGCGGCAACGCAGGACGGCCGGCGGGCGAACGGGACAGAGCAGCAUCGAGUGGCCACCCCUAGGAUUGAUUUGGGGACGUUGUUGGAUGGUCUCACAUGUCAGAUCCAGACCCACAUCCAUGCGGUUCCACAUGUAAGAUCCGGACCCACUAUCACUAACGCCGGCGGACGGAAUGGACUCAAAACUGCCCGUUUGGCCUCGUCAUAGUAGUUGCGCACGGGCUAGAGGCAAAACUGAGCACGAUUUGCAACUGAGGGCAAAAGUGAGCAUAUGGACACCACUGAGAACAAAAAGAUAAUUAUCCCUAUUAAAUAGUGGUGCUUUUUCUACGAAUAUAAUCAAUUCCAUAAUGCUAUCCGCUUUGACCAUCCUAUUACCCUAAAUGGAAAGCAAAGUAGGUUAUUCAGCACACCAUAACUUCGUUCCUUGGUUGACUGCCUGGCCUUCAAGAAACUAGAAAAAAUGUAAUAACUCACUUCACUAUGAGCGGCUCCCUCCCCACCAAUUGGGUAGAUGGAAGCUAUAUACGUAUAGAAAAAAGUAAACCACAAUGAGAAACAUACUUGCCCCAUUAGCAUCCAUAUGACGGAGCAACCAGCCCCCUUCAACAUCUUUCAUAAUGUGUUCUACGCUGUUGAAAGCUAGAUCCACAUGAGGUGUGUGAUGCAUAAUACACCUCAAUGUGUGCUGCUAUUUAGGGAGUCCUUCUCGGGAGGGGCGUUUUGGCUCCCGGGUACAAAUGCUCCUGGGUGAACAGUAACGCAAAAAUUAUUAGAAAACAAUUUAAAAAAAUCUGAAUUUAUUUGUGGGUGUUCGUGUUAGUGUCACAAACAUGCCUGCCAAAUUUCAUGCAAAACGAAGCAGUGCUGCUUCGUCGGUGAAAAAAACAAAUUUGGAUGACAUUUUGAGAUAACAUUUGGUGUUUUAGUUUGUUUUUUCUUUUACACGGGCA